rnacentral:rRNA from 1 species
AUUGAACGCUAGCGGGAUGCCUUACACAUGCAAGUCGAACGGAGUGGCGAACGGGUGAGUACUGUAUCGGAACGUGCCCAGUAGCGGGGGAUAACUACGCGAAAGCGUAGUUAAUACCGCAUACUAUUGGAGCGGCCGAUAUCGGCUUAGGCAGUUGGUGGGGUAACGGCGAAACAAGGCGACGAUCCGUAGAUGGUUUGAGAGGACGACCAGCCACACUGGGACGGAGACACGGCCCAGACUCCUACGGGAGGCAGCAGUGGGGAAUUUUGGACAAUGGGGGAAACCCUGAUGCAGCCAUGCCGCGUGUGCGAUGAAGGUCUUCGGGUUGUAAAGCUCUUGUGGCAGGAAAGCGGUACCUGCAGAGUAAGCACCGGCUAACUACGUGCCAGCAGCCGCGGUAAUUC